rnacentral:antisense_RNA from 1 species
AUUGUUUUUAUUAAGGUUAUGUGUUGUAAUAGGUUCUG